rnacentral:rRNA from 1 species
GAUGAACGCUGGCGGUGUGCUUAACACAUGCAAGUCGAACGGUGAAGGCGGAGCUUGCUCUGCUGGAUCAGUGGCGAACGGGUGAGUAACACGUGAGCAAUCUGCCCCUGACUCUGGGAUAAGCGCUGGAAACGGCGUCUAAUACUGGAUACGAGCUGCGAAGGCAUCUUCAGCAGCUGGAAAGAAUUUCGGUCAGGGAUGAGCUCGCGGCCUAACAGCUUGUUGGUGAGGUAAUGGCUCACCAAGGCGUCGACGGGUAGCCGGCCUGAGAGGGUGACCGGCCACACUGGGACUGAGACACGGCCCAGACUCCUACGGGAGGCAGCAGUGGGGAAUAUUGCACAAUGGGCGAAAGCCUGAUGCAGCAACGCCGCGUGAGGGACGACGGCCUUCGGGUUGUAAACCUCUUUUAGCAGGGAAGAAGCGAAAGUGACGGUACCUGCAGAAAAAGCGCCGGCUAACUACGUG